ACUGAACCGGGAUGAGCCCAGCGCAUAAGCUCGUGCCCUUAACCGGGCAUCGAGCGGUGUUGCGUUUCGGAGGGUCCAGCACGCCGUCCCAUACCGCCUAAGUCAAGUUUGGAACGCGGCCACUACCCAUGGAGGGUGAGAGGCCCGUGUGGCGGCGACCCGCGAGGGUACUUUUGGGGCGGUCGGAAAGGGCCUCUCCGUAGAGUCGGGUUGCUUGAAAGUGCAGCCCUAAGUAGGUGGUAAACUCCAUCUAAGGCUAAAUAUGACCACGAGACCGAUAGCGAACAAGUACCGUGAGGGAAAGUUGAAAAGAACUUUGUAGAGAGAGUUCAAGAGUACGUGAAACCGUCAAGAGCCAAAACGGGUGGAGGCUCGAAGGUCGAACUGAGGGGAUUCAGCUCGUCGGCUGGUGCUGGCUGGCAGGAGAUGUCACGGUGCGACCCUGUUUACGGGCGUCCCUUCUGUCACGCUGGCGUCGGCGGGUGUAAUUCGCCUCGUAGUAGGUCGCCGCGACCCGUUGCUGGGGACGUCGAAGGCCCGAAUGGAUUGGUACCCCGCCGCGCUCGCUGGCGUUCCCUCGUCAGCAAUAGGUGAGGGGGAAACCGUCGGUGUCCUGGCUGCCCUGCGACGGUCGAUGAGACCCUCUUUUGGGUCUCUCGCGGCGUGCAAAAGGUCGGCGCUCUACCCGUCCCGUCUUGAAACACGGGCCAAGGAGUCCAACAUGUGUGCGAGUCAUUGGGCGAACUAAACCUAAAGGCGAAAUGAAAGUGAGAAGGCUUUUGCUGGCAGGGAGGCAGGCAGGCAGGCAGGUUCUCCUACCUACUACUACUUCCUCCAUCUUAAGCCAGGGCCCGAUCCCCGACCGGCUGCCCCCGGCAUCCUCACGUCCCGUCACGCGGGGUGAGUCACUUUCCUCCGUCUCUGCUGCGGCGGCGAGGGUGUCGAUGUGGCGAUGGUCUGUAGAAACCUGUUCGCAGGGGGGCGCAGGGCCGGGACUUGCCACCUGACGCCGCUCGUUUCCUCACCCGUUGGGGGGGCGAGCGUACUACUAGUCGGUAAGUACCAUGAGCAGGCAUGUUGGGACCCGAAAGAUGGUGAACUAUGCCUGGCCAGGAUGAAGCCAGAGGAAACUCUGGUGGAGGUCCGUAGCGAUUCUGACGUGCAAAUCGAUCGUCAGAGCUGGGUAUAGGGGCGAAAGACUAAUCGAACCAUCUAGUAGCUGGUUCCCUCCGAAGUUUCCCUCAGGAUAGCUGGAACUCGCACACCAAUGAAUUUCAUCCGGUAAAGCGAAUGAUUAGAGGUCUUGGGGACGAAACGUCCUCAACCUAUUCUCAAACUUUAAAUGGGUGAGAUGCCGAGCUUGCUUAAAAGCUGAAGCUUCGGCGACGAAUCAGAGUUCCUAGUGGGCCACUUUUGGUAAGCAGAACUGGCGCUGUGGGAUGAACCAAACGUCGAGUUAAGGGGCCUAAAUGAAUGCUCAUACAGAUCCCAUCAAAAGGUGUUGGUUGCUAUAGACAGCAGGACGGUGGCCAUGGAAGUUGGAAUCCGCUAAGGAGUGUGUAACAACUCACCUGCCGAAGCAACUAGCCCUUAAAAUGGUAUGGCGCUCAAGCAUUCUCCCGAUACUCGACCGCCGGGGCACUACCGGCCUGGCUGAUGGCGGCCUUCUGGGUCUCUCCUCUUCAGGUCUCGAAGCCCCGGUGAGUAGGAGGGUCGCGGUGGUGAGCGUAGAAGGGUAUGGCGUGAGCCGGCCUGGAGCCUCCACUGGUGCAGAUCUUGGUGGUAGUAGCAAAUAGUCGAGAGAGACUCCCUUGAAGGCCGAAGUGGGGAAGGGUUCCAUGUGAACAUCAGUUGGACAUGGGUUAGUCGCCCCUAAGCCCAAGGCGAAAGCCUGGUCCCACGCUAGAGGCAACGACCGCUCGAGACUGUAUACAGUACGGGACCGUCUUGGUCGUCGUAUUUGUGGUAGUCGGUAGUGACGAUACUGCUGGGCCAGUACCACCUUCCAAUGUCAAUGGCUUGGGUUCAUUGGCGGCCCACGGUGAGUUGCCAGUUGGGAUUAGUGGCGAAAGGGAAUACGGUCAUUAUUCCGUAACCAGGACCCGGAUGCCAAUCAGGUGUAAGCGCCCUUGCCCUCUGGGCAGGGGAAUGCUGCCCUGUGCAGGAGCCCGGUAACGGGAACCAGCUCGCGUCCGUCGGCGGUGGUCCGGGAAAGAGUCUCUUUUCUGUUAAGCGCCGUGACCUAGAUCA
rnacentral:rRNA from 1 species